GAUGAACGCUAGCGGCGGGCUUAAUACAUGCAAGUCGAACGGUAACAGGUCUUCGGACGCUGACGAGUGGCGCACGGGUGCGUAACACGUACACAACCUACCCUAAAGAGGGGGAUAGCUCUUGGAAACGAGGAAUAAUACCCCAUAGUACUUGAUGGUCGCAUGAUUUUCAAGUUAAAGGUUUACUGCUUUAGGAUGGGUGUGCGGGCCAUUAGGUAGUUGGAGAGGUAACGGCUCACCAAGCCUACGAUGGUUAGCUGGUCUGAGAGGAUGAUCAGCCACACGGGCACUGAGACACGGGCCCGACUCCUACGGGAGGCAGCAGUAAGGAAUAUUGGACAAUGGGCGAAAGCCUGAUCCAGCCACGCCGCGUGCAGGAUGAAGGUCCUCUGGAUUGUAAACUGCUUUUGACAGAGACGAACGGUCGGGAGUUUAUCUUGAAUCGACGGUAUCUGUCGAAUAAGCACCGGCUAACUACGUGCCAGCAGCCGCGGUAAU
rnacentral:rRNA from 1 species